rnacentral:hammerhead_ribozyme from 1 species
AUCCAGAUGAUGAGUCCCAAAUAGGAGGAAAUGCCCGUCCUGCAU